GCUCAGAUUGAACGCUGGCGGCAGGCCUAACACAUGCAAGUCGGACGGUAGCACAGAGAGCUUGCUCUCGGGUGACGAGUGGCGGACGGGUGAGUAAUGUCUGGGGAUCUGCCCGAUAGAGGGGGAUAACCACUGGAAACGGUGGCUAAUACCGCAUAACGUCGCAAGACCAAAGAGGGGGACCUUCGGGCCUCUCACUAUCGGAUGAACCCAGAUGGGAUUAGCUAGUAGGCGGGGUAAUGGCCCACCUAGGCGACGAUCCCUAGCUGGUCUGAGAGGAUGACCAGCCACACUGGAACUGAGACACGGUCCAGACUCCUACGGGAGGCAGCAGUGGGGAAUAUUGCACAAUGGGCGCAAGCCUGAUGCAGCCAUGCCGCGUGUAUGAAGAAGGCCUUCGGGUUGUAAAGUACUUUCAGCGGGGAGGAAGGCGAUGGGGUUAAUAACCCUGUCGAUUGACGUUACCCGCAGAAGAAGCACCGGCUAACUCCGUGCCAGCAG
rnacentral:rRNA from 1 species